UCUAAAUCAUAGAUGACUAGAUGAGGGGGUGGUCUAAAUUCUAAUCUAAAUGUCCAUAAAUAAUUUACAAAUAUAUACGAAGUUUUCAACAGAUUAUAUGGACAUCACACAUUUAAUUCUAAUUAAGCCGAUUUGUGAUUUAUGAUAGAGUGUUUUAUCCAUUGAAAGUACCUACAAUAAAUGACUAACCUCAUAGUUAUUUAUGUAUGUUUUUCAAGACCAGAAGUUGAUGGUUGAUGGUAAAAAAUGUUUAUGGUGUAGUUAAAAUUAUCGGUCCUGUACAUAAUUUGUUUAUAGAAGCCUAAAAAAACUACCUUUGACAUGUCUAGUGCCUCCAUAGACAUGCACUAUCUAGGACUAUUAAGGGACGCCUUGGCUAUCCAAACAGUUUUACCCUGGCUUGAAUCUGAGGACAAUAUUAUAGCCUUUUUCAGAACAAUUCCUCAAAAAUACGAAGAUUUUAGAAUACGGCUAGCUCUUCAAUAUUUUAUACAACGCAGGGAUAAAGAGGAGGAAAACUCUGAUCUAAGUAUUGAGCAUGAUGCUCUAGAAAUAUCUGAACUUUUACCCUAUACUGAUAGCAAUCGCAUUAAAAAUCACCUUAAGGAAUUAGGUAAUGUUUCCAACAGAAAAGAAAUUGUAGUAAGACAAUUGAUUAAGGAACAGACUCAUUUAAAUCCACUUAUAAACAAGUUGAUGUCAAAUGUACCAGAAUUCAAAGUCUCAGUAAAUGGAAAUGUGUUUGAAGAAAAUGCACUCUCCGGUAUAAAGAACAAAGGAAAGAGACCAAUCGAAACUCAUGUAUCAGAUAAUACCACCGUGGAGGAAGAAAAAACAGUUCCAUUAAAAAUUGUGAAAGUAGAAACAGUUGGUAUAAACGAAAAAGACCAACUUAGCCCAAUUUAUUCUUCCUCAUCCAGCAGCAGUGUAGAUUUUGAAGAACCACGAAUAAGGGUUCCUUCUGUGAAACGAGUUUCCUUCCACAACUGUGAACAAGAUCUAGCAUUGCGACCGAAAUUUGAACUACCUGCUCGUUUAAUGUUCCAAAACGGUGAAAAAGUAGAAGAACAAUUUCCUUCUGUAUCAGGGCAAUUCAGAGCAGAUUGGAAGAUUGACCUACCCGCUCCUUUAAAUUUUCAGGACCGUGUAGAAAUUCCUUCCGUGUUAGAGAAGCGUGAACCACCUAUUCGUUCAAAUUUUGAAACCCAUGAAGAUGUUCCUUUAUCAUUGAUAUCUGAACAAGCCACUAGUUUAAAUUUUAUGAACCAUCAAAAAGCUACCUCUUUAUCAGUGAAGUCUGAACCAGUUAAACAAGCCACCAGUUUAAAUUUUUUGAACUUUCAAGAAGCUACCUCUUUAUCGGUGAAGUCUGAACCAGCUGAACAAGCCACCAGUUUAAAUUUUAUGAAUUUUCAAGAAGCUACCUCUUUAUCGGCGAAGUCUGAACCGGCUGAACAAGCCACAAGUUCAAAUUUUAUGAACUUUCAAGAAGCUACCUCUUUAUCGGUGAAGUCUGAACCAGCUGAACAAGCCACCAGUUUAAAUUUUAUGAACUAUCAAAAAGCUACAUCUUUACCAGUGAAGUCUGAACCAGCUGCGCAUUCCAAUUUUUCAAACUCUAAAGAAGUUCCUGCAGUACCUCCGCAGUUUAUGGAUUUCAUGUCGCUAGUACCUCAAAAUAAUACCCCUGAAGAUAUUAUGUUAGAACCGGAUCCAAUACCGACAGUGGAUAUUACAUUAGAACCUAGAGACGAACACGUUGAUGAAUCAUUAAUAGUACGAUUAAAAGAAAUUUUUCCACAAGCUUGCCCCGAUUAUCUUCGAAAGUUGUGUCGCGGCAAACAGUGGUCUGAAUUCGAUAAUUUAGUAACUGUGUUAUUAUCAAAUGAGUACCCUCAAAGACCUGAAAGAGUUCCCAGUCCUCCGAAGGAGUUAGAUCUCGAUGAACAAUUAAACAUAGUAAAAGAAUUAUUGCCGGACGCAGACCCGACGUAUCUUAGGUAUAAAUGUGAAAAGAUUGGAAAUGAUGUAGAGGCAUUGAAUGCCUUUAUAAACGAAGCAAGAGAACUAAAGAACUAUCCAACUUUGAAAGAGUAUUUAAGAAAACAAAAGUUCACGGCACAAAUAAAGCAAUAUACAGAAGAAUUUAAUGUGGAAAAUUUUGUAGCAUUGUUUCCAAAUCCAGAGCAGACCUUUAAUGAUCCAAAUAGAACUAUUGAUGUGGAUUAUCGUUCUGAACCGUACGUCACUUAUUUCUUUCAAAGUAGGUAUGACAGAAUAUCUGUAAAGAUUAUACGGUCUGUACUAGCACAAACUAAAUUUAAUAUCCUAGCUUCCGACAAAAUAUUACAAUCUAAAUGUAAAACAGGCGAGGUGAUGAAGUCACGUAGAAAAAUGUAUCGUCAUGAAAGUCCUCCUCAAAAUAUUCUUCUCUUGCAAAACCUGGCUUAUUUAACUCACAAAGAGGAAAUAGAGCAGUACAUUAAAGAAGCAAAAGGAAAGGAAGAAGCUGAACGCAAAAAUGCCAAAGAGAACGGUUUAAUGAAUGAAUGUAAGUGCUGUUAUGACAAUGAAGUCAUGCCUAAAGAUUCAUUUAAUUGUCCAAAUGGCUGUGUUUUUUGUAAGAGCUGUAUCAAAAAGAGUUGUGAAAUAUCUAUGGGAGAGGCUAAGACUGAAAUUAUGUGUUUGAAUGGUUGUCCAAUAGAAUUUACUCUACAUACGCUACAGUUGGUACUUUCGCCAAAAUUAUUUUCAAAAUUAGCACAAAAGAAAGCAUUAGCUGAAGUCAGAGCAGCAGGUAUCGAUGAGCUCGAGUCAUGUCCAUUCUGUGACUUCGCGAGUAUCCCGAACACUGAAGAUAAAAUUUUCCGUUGCCUCAAUCCUGAUUGCAUGAAGGAGUCCUGUAGAUUAUGCAAAGAAGAAAACCACGUGCCUUAUAAGUGUGAUGAAGUUGAAAAGGAUGAUGACGUUAAAGCUCGCGUUUAUGUCGAAAAUAAAAUGACAGAAGCCUUGCUACGCAAAUGUUACAAAUGUGCCAAGAGUUUCUUCAAAGAGGAAGGUUGCAAUAAGAUGACUUGCGUCUGUGGAGCGACAAUGUGUUAUGUAUGUAAACAACCAGUCAAAGAUUAUAAACAUUUCAAUGGUUUGGGAGGAGAUAAAUUUGAACUGUGUCCAUUAUACAGUGAUUCCAAUGAAAUCAAUCGGAGUAAUGUUCUCAAGGCUGCCGAAGCUGCAAAAUCUAAAGUUGAUCCAAACAAACUAAAGAUAGAUCCUACCCUGGAUAUUAAAAAACACUAUGAACAAAGAAAGAAAGCACUUCCCGCUGAACCUCAUCUUAGGUACGUUGGACAAGUAAUAAACGAUGUGCCUCCCAUAGUGGAAUUAGUACACAUUCUGGAACAUCACGGACGUAGAUUGCAACAAGUACAGCGAAAUCAUCAUAGACAUCCUCCUAGACAGCAAUAAACCUCCCUUAUUAUAAUUUUUUUAUUACCGAAGUCCUGAGAACUCCAUUACUGAUACACUUCUAACUACUCAUCCCAAGUGAAGUUUGUUGCACUUUUUGUAUCAUUUCUACAUUUUAAUCUGUUUAUCUGUUUUUCAAGUUUACAUUCCAUUUUUUGCAGUGCUCUAUCGGAAUUAUUGAUUGUUGUGGAUUUUUUUAUUUAACUGUACUGGUUGAUCGAUUGGGUUGAUAUUUUGUUGGAAGAUUCCAUUUUUAAAUAUAUGAUGUUUGGCCAAAAUGUGUCCUACCUUCGUUUAUACUCCGCAGUGUUUUAUACCCCUGGUCAAAAACAUCUGGACACUUGCCUUUUGUAUGUUUCUUUAAAUUCUGUAGGUGUUAAGUGGGGAGGAAGUAAACAUUGAUAAUAGAAAUCGUUUAGAAAAAUAUUAACCUUUUUCGAAAAAUUAAAUAAAAGAAAACAUAAAAUUUUACAGUUGGCUAUUCUUUAGGUUUAGUACCGGCUAUUGCCUCUCCUACAUCUGCGGAGGAUUUCAAUGUGACUAGGCAUACUAGCAAUAAGUUGCUGAAUCUGUUGUAGCUGUAUAUGUUGCCAUUCUUCAUGCAACGCUAUUUUUCUGGCAAUGGUUACCUUUUUUUUAAGCUUUUUCCCUAAAAUGUCCAAUAAAUGUCUAAUGAAUUCAUGUUAGGACUACAAGCGGGACAAUCCAAAACGGGAAUUCCGACAGUAUUGUGACGAUAAUAUAAUUUUAUCGUCCAGAGUACUCCAAUGAAUUAAGUAAAACGUGUUUUUGUACCGUCUUGGACGAUAUAAAGGUCGGAUCGAAAAGCCUAGUUGAUUGUUAUUCUUGUAGCGUUGAUCGAAGAAUAAUAAACAACAGCGAGGUAUAAGAGGUGAGUUUAUGUAGGUAGUAUUUCCCGACCAUUUUCCGCUGUCGUUUUGGCGAGCUGGGCGAAUCCGACAGUUUUCCUCCUACCUAUCAUUAUACGAGCGGUGAUCGUAUAUCCCUAAUAUGUCUUUUCAUCUGGCGAGCUGAGCGAGAUUCCCUUCCCUUUCCUUAAACAUUCAUGUAUUAAUAAAAGCAAUUCCUAUUUCACGCGAUCGUCAAAAUCAUUCAUUCAUGUACAAAAUAUCGUUACAUCGCAUCGGCCCGAACAGAAAGCUCGAUGCGUAGAUUAUAAAUAUAUUUUAUUAACGAAAUUAACGAGUAAUUAAGGCUAAUUAUCUUAUCUUUUGUAUGUUUUGAUUCCAAAUAAAAAUGUCUUAAAAAGCGAACACUUUUCUUCGACUGAUUUAGUUACCUGCAGCAACAACGCAACGACCGCGUUACAUUGCAUCUACUGCAGAAAAGUAUCGGCGUUGAACGGCAUGUAUUACGGUUGUGCCCCUCUUUCCACAUUUCCAGCAGCAUGUUCGUCUAUCGAAGUUGAAUAGUUUGUUUCUUGAUGUUUCCUGGGACAUUCUAUUAAAACGGGAGCUUCUUUUUUGUGAAGUGUUGUCUACCUCUAUUUUACUUAUGCCACUUUGAAUCGUUUCGUAUUCUUCAGUCUGGCGCAUAAGGUAUUUUUCCUUGAUGGAUAAUUUGUAAUUUGGGUGCAUGUUUUUGUAAAUUCUUUUAAUUUCUUGUGUUUUGUCCAUUUUGCCGUACCUUCUGAUUAGCGUUUGAAGCUCUAAUAGAAAAUCUUUAAACCGUUCGUUUGUUUUCUGCGUUCUCGUUCUGAUUUGGUCUUCCAAAUCGUCUAACCAGUUUGCUGAUUUAAAAGCAAGGUUGAAAUCCUCCGUAAAAUUGUUCCAGUUUUCUCAGGAGUCGACGUUGUUUCGGAACCAUAGUAUCGCUUUUCCCCUAAAUACUUCUGGUAGUGCUUUCAAUAAAGCAUCGUCUCGAAUCCGGUAAUAGCUUUUUAGUUCGUAUAGCCUCUCCAAAAAUUCUGUGGGGUCUUUGGAUCCGUCAAAAUGUAAGCCCCAUUUUCUAACUGUGUCCAUUAUUUGACUAUGUUUAUUUUCCGUUUGUGUAUCGUCUGUUUGAGGAUCCUUAGUUUCGAUAUUGGUAACUGUGCCGGUCUUUUUUGAGCGUAAGUGUAAGACCAUUCUUGAUCGAAGACCGUCUAAUUUACCUGUCGUAUCUAAGUUAAAUUCUGCCAAAACAUGACUUAAUUCCUCUUUCUUUAAUUUAUAUACCCAGCCUAUCGUCUCAUCCGCUAUUUCUAAGCCUAACGUACUUUCUGAUUCCGCCAUAUUUAUAAUAUAUUUAUUUAAAUGUCUUAAACCCUGUUAAAAUAGAUUGCGUUGUUGUUCCAGGUAACUAAAUCAGUCAAAGAAAAGAGUUCGCUUUUUAAGACAUUUUAUUUGGAAUCAAAACAUACAAAAGAUAAGAUAAUUAGCCUUAAUUACUCGUUAAUUUCGUUAAUAAAAUAUAUUUAUAGUCUACGCAUCGAGCUUUCUGUUCGGGCCGAUGUGACGAUAUUUUGUACAUGAAUGAAUGCUUUUGACGAUCGUGUGAAAUAGGAAUUGCUUUUAUUAAUACGACAUGAAUGUAUAAGGAAAGGGAAGAAAGGGAAUCUCGCCAGAUGAAAAGACAUAUUAGGGAUAUACGAUCACCGCUCGUAUAAGGAUAGGUAAAAGGAUAGAUAAGAGGAAAACUGUCGGAUUCGCUCAGCUCGCCAAAACGACAGCGGAAAAUGGUCGGGAAAUACUACCUACAUAAACUCACCUCUUAUACCUCGCUGUUGUUUAUUAUUCUUCGAUCAACGUUCCAAGAAUAAUAAUCAACUAGGCUUUUCGAUCCGACCUUUAUAUCGUCCAAGACGGUACAAAAACACGUUUUACUUAAUUCAUUGGCGUACUCUAGACGAUAACAUUAUAUUAUCGUCACAGUAUUUAAGUAGACAUGGAUUCGCGCAGUAUGUGGACGUGCAUUAUCCUGCAUAAAUAAGAAAUUAUCUCCCAAAAAAUGGGGCAUAUUGGACAACAUUCUCCUUCAGGAACUGCCGUAUGUUUCUUUCUGCUGUUAAAGUUCCAUGUUUAGUGAAAACUAAUUCUGUGCGUCCGUUGAAAGUAAUCUCUAUCUAUCUAUCAGCGAGGUUCCUACAGCCUCUGCCGCUUCUCGCAUUUCGACCGCCAUCGUUUUCUGUCCAUCCAUUCGUCUUCUUUGAUGGCUCUAUCUUUCAUGAUGUGCCGUACAUUUUCUUCCCAGGCAACUGAAGGUCUUCCCCUUCUUCUUCUUUGGUGUGGUAUGUAAUUUAAAGCUUUCUUUGGCCAUCUAUCUUCAUUCAAUGAAAGUAAUACCCGCGUAUAUCAUAACACCUCCGCCACCAAAUGACGCUCUAAGUGAAAUAAAGCAAGAAGCAAAUCGUUUUCCGGGCCUUCUCCAUACACGUUCGUGUCCGUCUGGAUAUCGUAAGCAAAACUGAACUCAUCAGAAAACAUUACAGCACUCCAUUACUGAAGAGUCCAGUCUCUGUGAUGAUUUGUAAAUUUCAUCCUGUUACCUCGAUGAGCUACUGUUAAUUUAGGGCAUGCUACUGACUUAUGCGAACUUGAACCACUUUCACGCAGGACUCUUCUUACAGUUCGUGCAGAAAUAUGAGUUCCCGAGCUUCUAACAAACGACUAGCGAGAGCAUUUGACGUUAAAGAGCGGUUCCAUAAUGCGGAAAUCUUAAAAAAAAAACGUUCAUCACGCUGAUCCCUGCACCUUUUCCUGCCUGAUCCUCAUAUUCUAAUGUAUUCUCCAGUUUGACGAUACUUAAUAAGAGCAUUAUAAACGGUAGGUACUUUUAGCCAUAUUCAAAUGAUUUACAAUUUAACGUAUACUGCAGCCAUCUUAAUGCAGUACUACAACUUUUGCAUUAUAUUAUACCAACAUUAUUUGAAAACAUUAGUGAACAGUAAUUCGAAUUUAUCAGAAUAAACGUGAAACUUAUCGUAAAUGCAAUAAAAAAUUCAAAAAGCAGUUUUUUGAAAAAAUGUCAAAAUUUUGUUUGUGGUGCCGCGAUCAUUUAAAAACCGUUUUUAUAAUUAUGAAUGAACGACUCUAUGUAUUAAUGUUUACUUGCUCCCCAUUAAAACGACUACACACUGAGAAAAAUUUAACAAAACACAAAAUGGAAGUGUCCGGAUUGUUUUGACCAGCAGUGUAUUAUUGUGUAGCUCGUGGUGUUCUUCGAAAUAAUUUCCAUUUUACUUACAAUAAAUAAUCUUUCUUUUAUGCUUGUCAUUAAAGCAGUUUUGUAAUGGCCUUCAGUGAUACCGUCGCCUCUGUCUGAAUAAUUUUUAUCUCGUUGAAACGUGGCCUUUUAGGUGCAAUUUUUAGUUUUAGAAACACGAAAAAGUCGUAGGAUGUUAUGUUGGAACUGUACAGAGUUGUGUAACCUUGAAUUUUGACAAAAACUGUGGCGCAAACUUUGGUGCUGAGGAAUAAUUGUCUUCAUAAAAAGAAACUAAUCAGCGCUCGCCCAAAAAUUGGUCGUUUUCUUCUCGCUGCAUUACACUCUCAUUUAUAACUUUAAGAUAAGUACCUAUUGCCCGCUUGACUUAAAACAUAACAUUGCAAGUCAAGUUUCUACUCCCUAAAGUACAGCUGUAUGGAAUCAAGUUUGUACUUAUUAUAAUCAGAAGUAUCAUCAACAAAACAAGCUGUAGACUUCAGUAAAAACUCUGUCUGAUCCAUACAAAAAUAAUUUUUAUGUUCGUUAUGAUCUUUAUAUCUUCCAAUAUCAAUGUUUUCCUAUUGUUAACUAUUUUGUCCUUGUCGUCGUACACUUAAUCCACCCAUACUAUUCGGUUCAAUAUGUUAUUGCUUUUAAAGUAUGUUCCAGCAUUAUAUUGUCCUAUUAUUCCCCAUAUUCUGAUUAUUCUCAUUCUUAGUUUUCAUUUAACCCUAUUGUCAUGGGUUAUCAAAAUUCUUGUCUCUUCGAUUUGGUCAUACUAUUUUUAUCUUAUUUAGCGAUGUAAUAAAUAAUACCUUUAUUUUUCUAGUAUUUUAUUUUUCUGUGCGCUUAUUACUGCUUUGAUUGUCUACAGGAUUGUGCGAGUUAAUGUGAAGACCAGUCAUAAUUUGAAAUAAACAACAUUCAUUAGUUAUAGACGAAGGCAAAGUAAUACAAUUUAAUUAGUUUUAAUAGGAAAUAUGCCCUCUGUUGACGUGUAUAAUUUCUUGAACGUGUUUUUGGCAUAUAAUUAAACAUUUAUUUCACGUAACAGUUCUUUUGAUAUUUGCGGAUAUAGAUUGUAGAUCUCUGAAAUACAGUGACAUUGUCAGUUUUGUUUUUGUUGUGCAAUAUAUUUUACAAUGUCUGGCUUUUACAAUUACCCACAUCUUUUCAAUCUAUAUAAAAGUUUUCUUUGUCUUACACCAGGUCUUCAGGUCUUGUUACACCCUGUAUAAUGUCUUGGUUAUUCAGGGUGUAACAAAAAGGCGGGUCAUAAAUUAAAUCACAUAUUCUGGGACCAAAAAUUAAUACAUAGUUCGAUUGCACCUAACUAACCUUAGUUUAAAUGUGUAUAUAAAAAAGUUACAGCUCUUUGAAGUUACAAAAUGAAAAUAGAUUUUUUCCAAUAUUUCGAAAACUAUUAGAGAUUUUUUAUUGAAAAGGACACGUGACAUUCUUAUGGAAGGAACAUCUUAAAAAAAAUAACAGUGAAAUUUGUGCACCCUUUAAAAAAUUUAUGAGAGUUUUCUCCCUCAACCCACCAAUUAUUUGUGUACGUUCUAAUUAAAUUAUUAUUGAGAUACCAUUAGUUAAACACAAUGUUUUUGCCUCUUAGUACUUUUUCGAUAAACCAGUUAACCAUUAUAGAGACCUGGUAAUAAUACUAUGAAAAUAAUGUUCUAUAAUUUUACAUAACCAUUUAAAAAUAUAUGGUGGAUUUUACAAAUCUUCAAAAUAUCUCGAUAAAAACUGGUUUAUCGAAAAAGUACUAAGAGCCAAAACAGUUUUAAAAACAUUGUGUUUAACUAAUGGUACCACAAUAAUAUUUGGGAGUUUUUAGGGAACAAAACACCCAUAAAUUUCACUAUAAUUUUUUUAAGAUGUUCCUGCCAUAAGAAUGCCACAUGUCCAUUUUCAAUAAAAAAUCUCUAAUAGUUUUCGAUAUGUUAAAUAAAACGAUUUAUUUUGUUACUUCAAAGGGCUGUAACUUUUUUUAUGUGCACAUUUGUACCAUGGUAAGUUAGGUUCAAUCGAACUAGUUUUGGUCCCAGAAUCUGUGAUUUAAUUUAUGUCCUGCCUUUUUGUUACACCCUGUAUUAUUAUGGGCAUAUAACAUGCAGCCGAAUCUUGUUAAGACUUGGCAUUAGCAUCAAAUUCAUACCUUCAAUUGGCACAAGGGAUCAAUAUUCUUAUAAAAAAAUAUCUUCAACGGUUGUUUAAUUAUUAGACCAAUAUGAGCGGUCGUAAGUUUUCGUUGUUAGUGACUCAAAAA
rnacentral:misc_RNA from 1 species